AAGCUCUUGAAUAAUGUAAUUAUAACUAUAAUUACAUAAUUUGAGAUUUUAA
rnacentral:pre_miRNA from 1 species